UACGUAGGGGGCGAGCGUUGUCCGGAAUCACUGGGCGUAAAGGGCGCGCAGGCGGUCAUGCAAGUCGGCUGUGAAAGGUCAGGGCUCAACUCUGACAUGUCGGCCGAUACUGUAUGGCUUGAGGGCAAGAGAGGGAGGCGGAAUUCCCGGUGGAGCGGUGAAAUGCGUAGAUAUCGGGAGGAACACCAGUGGCGAAGGCGGCUUCCUGGAUUGCACCUGACGCUGAGGCGCGAAAGCUGGGGGAGCAAACGGGAUUAGAUACC
rnacentral:rRNA from 1 species